rnacentral:lncRNA from 1 species
AUGUAUUUGCCAUUUUAUUCGAUCUCUAAACUGCAGUUGGAUUAUUAUGUCCACAACUUUUGUUCCUCCACAGCUUCCUCCGCUAGUUUCUCCGAGCAAUCUUGCUGGAAGUUGUGGUUCAUGAUGGUGAUGUUGCAAUCUCACCCUUGCCCUUACAUGCAGUUGCUUCAACAACAUUGUGUGCUUGGAAAGUUUCGGCUGAGAGGCUCACUUUCGGUGGUGGGACAGCAGGAAAAGGUGUCUUCGCGUCCCAGACGUUUUUGAACCGUUUCAUCUAGCAACCCUAGUGAAGAGUUUUGUAGCAUUUGAAGUUUCCCCAUUCAAAGAGAUAGGAGCUGCACUUGGAUGCCCGAGAGCAUUUCAAAGAUGGCCGCAGAGUGACAUGACUUGUCUUAAAGGGACUUUGGAUCUUUCCACUGUGAGUUUUUCCCACCAUUAUUUAUAUUUUGGAAGAAUUUCAUUAUAAUAUUUAUAUUCUGUUAUCAGUUGGCAUAAAAACAAACUCAGUAACAGUUAUAUAUUUGAUUUUGGUAGAUCAGUUCCUCCCACUGCAAUUACAUCAUCAAUGAAGCUCCUCCCACACCGUUCACAUCCUCAGGGAAGCUCCGCCCCCAGCAGUUCCCCAAUAAAUGCUGGAAUAUUCCCAUCAGUUUACAACAGCAUCAGAUCAUCAGGAAGAGCUGAAAUCUGCAAGGACUGAGUUUCUUAAAGAGGACAGAGAGAAGAUGAGAGAUCCAGAACCCUGCAGAACCAAACUCACUGAAGACACUGAAGAACUAACAGGUCAGGUUUAUUCUUCAAGCACUUCUUCAGAUUCAGAUCUUCUGUGAAAUGGAUUCAAAAAUGGCUUUCAUCAAGUGGUCAGUAAAGGGAGGUUUAAGAAAUGUUCAUAUUGAUUGCCAACAUCAGGUCAACUAUUAUUUUAUUUUUAUUUUACAUUUAUUUAUAUCUGAUUUACUAUUUUUUGCAACAAUGUUACCAAAAUGUUGAACAUUUGGUAAACACCAGAAUGUAUCAAGUAAUGCCUAUCUAGUCUAUAGAUAAAGAUAUAUUUCUCCUGAAUUAAAGCUGUUUUUCAUAGUUGAGAUGAUUCUUCUUACAGUAACUUUGAUGAAUGAGAUCAACACUGUACAGUUUGUGUAAACCGAGAGAUUGAGAACGGAUUGACAUUUUCUUGUCCUUCCUUCAUGUUGUAAAAAGAGCCCAGAAGAUGUCACUUCCUCUGUGUAACAAUUUCUAGAAAUUUUUCAUUUUUUUCUAAGGAGGAAAAUCAUGUAAUGAGUGAAAGUGUAAGGCUGAAAUAACCACAGAUACUUUGAUGUCCUGAGAUAGAGACAAUACAAACACACACAGACAUCUGUUUUCACAGCCCACAGAGUCAAGAUUGCUGUCCUUCCAUCACAUCUCUCUCUUCUCCCCCACUUCAGCCUCUUCACCCAUCAUUCCCUCCAUUCACUUCACUCAGAAAGAUCAGAUGAAAUAUAAUCUUCUGUCAAUGCAGGUCAAUUCAGUCAGGUUUGGUAUCAUUAGAAAAGUGUGACUUGUGUCCAAAGAAACAGACCAGGAAUCUAAUAGAAGUGAGAGAGUUUAGAGAUGCUUUGUCUGCUGCAGAUGGUGUGUUUUUCCCACGGUCUCCAUCUAAAUGACCUCCUGUUCCUCAAAGAAGUGUGAAAUCCCAGUCAAUGCAAACUCCAGAUGUUCUGUCAUGCCUCCUUCUGGAGAAUGAUUAUCCUGCUCACACUAUGACUAUAAAGCAUUAGAAAAAUUAAAAUUAUGAUAUAAAAUAAAAUUAUGAUAUAAAUGAACAAUAAUCAAUUGCCAUUAAACUUGAACUGACACACAGCAAAACAUGUGUUUCUGGUGUCCCACGUUCACAUGCGUAUGAAUGAGUCACUGGAAGGAAAAGUCUAGUGUGACCAGCCCAUAAUAAUUAAAACAGUUUUUAGUCAAAUCCAUUAAAUAUCAAUCUAAAAGUUGGCAUCAACAUUAUGGCACUAUUGUUUAUGGUUAAUGUUAAUAUUACAUUAGAUAAUUUUUGUUAUUGAUCAAAUAUAUUUAGUAGUUCUCACUACAGAAACAUAGGAUUUGUGCGUAUAUAAUGCUUUAAAAAUAAUUAUUUAAAGAUCAGUGUAACUCAUUUAUGGAAAGUUUCAGGGAUGUAAAAUUCAUUUAUAAAAAAUCAUCAAAAUGGCUGUAAUAUUUUAUAACAGGUAUCUACUUUAGGCUAUUUCAUCAGAGCUCACUUCUAUGUCCUUUUACUUUAUGUUACUUUUUUUGAAUUAUUUACUGAAUAUUUACUGAAAAUUAAUGUAAACAU